rnacentral:misc_RNA from 1 species
GAAUAUGGUGAUAUGCAGUUGAUUGCAGAGGCUUAUGACGUUCUGAAAUCUGUUGGGAAGCUCUCUAAUGAUGAAUUGCAUCAAGCCUUCUCAGAAUGGAACAACGGGGAGCUCCAGAGCUUCUUGAUUGAAAUUACAGCUGAUAUAUUUGGAAUCAAGGAUGACAAAGCGGAUGGACAUUUGGUAGACAAGGUUUUAGACAAAACUGGAAUGAAAGGUACUGGUAAAUGGACCGUUCAGCAAGCUGCUGAACUGUCAAUUGCUGCUCCUACAAUAGCCUCAUCCCUAGAUUCCAGAUUCCUUAGUGGAUUGAAGGAUGAAAGGGUGCAAGCAGCCAAAGUUUUCAAAUCUUGUGGGGUCAGCGACAUCCUUGUUGAACAGUCUGUGGAUAAGAAGCAAUUGAUUGACGAUGUCAGAAAAGCACUCUAUGCUUCGAAAAUAUGUAGCUAUGCUCAGGGAAUGAAUUUGAUAAGGGCAAAGAGU